UGGGCGUAAAGAGCUCGUAGGCGGUUUGUCGCGUCUGCUGUGAAAUCUGGGGGCUCAACCCCCCAGCCUGCAGUGGGUACGGGCAGACUAGAGUGCGGUAGGGGAGAUUGGAAUUCCUGGUGUAGCGGUGGAAUGCGCAGAUAUCAGGAGGAACACCGAUGGCGAAGGCAGAUCUCUGGGCCGUAACUGACGCUGAGGAGCGAAAGCAUGGGGAGCGAACAGGAUUAGAUACCCUGGUAGUCCAUGCCGUAAACGUUGGGAACUAGAUGUAGGGGCCAUUCCACGGUUUCUGUGUCGCAGCUAACGCAUUAAGUUCCCCGCCUGGGGAGUACGGCCGCAAGGCUAAAACUCAAAGGAAUUGACGGGGGCCCGCACAAGCGGCGGAGCAUGCGGAUUAAUUCGAUGCAACGCGAAGAACCUUACCAAGGCUUGACAUAUACCGGAAACGUCCAGAGAUGGUCGCCCCGCAAGGUCGGUAUACAGGUGGUGCAUGGUUGUCGUCAGCUCGUGUCGUGAGAUGUUGGGUUAAGUCCCGCAACGAGCGCAACCCUCGUUCUAUGUUGCCAGCACGUUAUGGUGGGAACUCAUAGGAGACUGCCGGGGUCAACUCGGAGGAAGGUGGGGAUGACGUCAAAUCAUCAUGCCCCUUAUGUCUUGGGCUUCACGCAUGCUACAAUGGCCGAUACAAAGGGCUGCAAUACCGUAAGGUGGAGCGAAUCCCAAAAAGUCGGUCUCAGUUCGGAUUGAGGUCUGCAACUCGACCUCAUGAAGUCGGAGUCGCUAGUAAUCGCAGAUCAGCAACGCUGCGGUGAAUACGUUCCCGGGCCUUGUACACACCGCCCGUCAAGUCAUGAAAGUCGGUAACACCCG
rnacentral:rRNA from 1 species